UGUAUACCCAUAGGUAGGUUCAUAACCAAUUAUUUUAUCAAACAAUUUUUAGUAUUCAAUUUUGCCCCAGACACCUCUUCAGCAGGCGUGUGGCACCUCCACUGAAAGUUCUGAUUAGGUUCAAUCAUUAACAUACCAAAAUUUAGUAUAUUUAACAAACGAGUGAUCAGGUCCGAGUGUGGCUCGAUCAGCCUGACCAUCAUUAGAAGGAUACAACUAAAACAACAUAUUAU
rnacentral:lncRNA from 1 species